rnacentral:piRNA from 1 species
UGGGGUACUGUGUGUGCACAUAGACACAC